GCCACGCUGAAAUGCAAUCCACGUGCACAAGGACACACCCGGUAACUUACAAGGGUGAUCGCCAUUCAUCGACAUCCGCACGUGAAUACGAAGAAAUUCAGCGUUUACACAACUUUACUCAUAUAUUUACACGCAACUUCACUACAAGGUUGACGAAUAAGACCAAAUUUGACUUUCAGGUUUAAUAAAUUAUAAUUCAGUGGUGGAAUGAACGUCCAACCUCAAUCCGGACCGCAGAACCUGCCGCCAUUUUCAAAAAACAGCUGCAGACCCACCUCUUCCAUGAGCACUUAACUAACCCCUACCAUUCCAACCCCACAUUAUUAAAAAUAAUAAUAAUAAUAAUUACUCUGGCUCUUACACCUCGACUCUGCGCACAUAAAUGUUGUACGGUAGCACCACUCGUAUUGUUCUCCGCUGGAUAUAUCGCUUUGCUUGUAUUUCCUCAUUUGUAAGUCGAUUUGGAUAAAAGCGUCCGUGAAACGAAUGAAUGCAAAUGUAAAUAAUGUAAAUGCAAAUGUAAAUAAAGAUGAUAAAUUAAUCAAAUUUGCAUUACCCCCGCCCACACUUUUAGACUUUACGCCCCAAAAUAGGUGUGUAAAAUAUAUGUGUAAAACAGAUGUGUAAAACAGGUGUGUAAAAUAGAUGUGUAAAAUAGGUGUGUAAAAUAGAUGUGUAAAACAGAUGUGUAAAACAGGUGUGUAAAAUAGAUGUGUAAAAUAGGUGUGUACAAUAGGUGUGUAAAACAGGUGUGUAAAACAGAUGUGUAAAAUAGGUGUGUAAAAUAGGUGUGCAAAAUAGAUGUGUAAAAUAGGUGUGUAAAAUAGGUGUGUAAAAUAGAUGUGUAAAAUAGGUGUGUAAAAUAGGUGUGUAAAAUAGAUGUGUAAAAGAGGUGUGUAAGAUAGGUGUGUAAGAUAGGUGUGUAAAAUAGGUGUGUAAAAUAGGUGUGUAAAAUAGAUGUGUAAAAUAGGUGUGUAAAACAGAUGUGUAAGAUAGGUGUGUAAAAUAGAUGUGUAAAAUAGGUGUGUAAAAUAGAUGUGUAAAAUAGAUGUGUAAAAUAGGUGUGUAAAAUAGAUGUGUAAAAGAGGUGUGUCGUUUUGCUCAUGUGAAAGAUAAGACCUGUCUGUAAAUCAGCUCGUACAUUCGGACAGGUUAAUCCUGUCAGUUAUUCCCAGUGUUUUAUGUCAUGGAUUUCUAUAAGAUGGUCCCUGAAGGUUUAAAAGCCAAAGUGCUGAUAAGAAAUAAAAUGACUGUUACUAAAGAAACACUUAAGUGAAAGUAAAAAGACGCCUUAAUGUUAAACUUCACAGCUCAGUCUCCAUGCCUCGUUAGAGAUUACUUUCAGUCACAUCCCAAACUCAGAGAUUCCAUUCUAACAAGACUCGGGUGCGUUUCACCCAUAAUGCACUGCGAGCACACAUCAGACUUAACACUGAGUGUGUCUGACCCUGUUACCCCACCCCCUUUACUAAACACUCCCAGUGCAUUUCACAAAAAACACACAUCUGUCACAGUGUGUAACGGCCAAUCAGAAACAGGAGUGUGUGUGUGUGUGUGUGUGUGUGUGUGUGCGUGUGUGUGUGUGUGUGUGUUCUAUAUAAACUGCUAUAUUUUAUAUUACUUGAAUACAUAAAUUUUUGUUAUUUAUUUGGUGUAUAUUAUUUUUAUACUGUAUAGCCUUACAAUACAACUUUUGAUAUUAUAUUAUUUAUUAUUGUUUAUUUACGUAGAAUCUAUUUAUUCACGGUAUUUAUAUUUAUUUAAUUGUGUAUUUCAUUCAUCUCAUUUCUAAGUAAUCACCGUAAUAAGACUGUUUUUAUAAUACAGCUGUAAGAUACACUAUAAUAUAAUAAUUUGUAUAAUAACUUAUAAUUUACUAUUUAUU
ensembl:lncRNA